rnacentral:rRNA from 1 species
CCUGGUGGCCAUAGCGAACGGGAACCACCCGAAUCCAUUCCGAACUCGGAAGUGAAACCGUUCAGCGCCGAUGGUAGUGUGGAGUCUCUCCAUGCGAGAGUAGGUCACCGCCAGGC